CCUACGGGAGGCAGCAGUGAGGAAUAUUGGUCAAUGGGCGGGAGCCUGAACCAGCCAAGCCGCGUGAGGGAAGAAGGUACAGCGUAUCGUAAACCUCUUUUGUCAGGGAACAAAGGCGGGGACUAGUCCCCGGAUGAGGGUACCUGAAGAAAAAGCAUCGGCUAACUCCGUGCCAGCAGCCGCGGUAAUACGGAGGAUGCGAGCGUUAUCCGGAUUUAUUGGGUUUAACGGGUGCGCAGGCGGCCUGUUAAGUCAGCGGUAAAAGCCCGGGGCUCAACCUCGACGAGCCGUUGAAACUGGCGAGCUAGAGUUGGGGAGAGGGACGCGGAAUGCGCGGUGUAGCGGUGAAAUGCUUAGAUAUCGCGAGGAACCCCGGUGGCGAAGGCAGCGUACCGGCUCCACACUGACGCUGAGGCGCGAAAGCGUGGGUAUCGAACAGGAUUAGAUACCCUAGUAGUC
rnacentral:rRNA from 1 species